UACGUAGGGGGCAAGCGUUGUCCGGAAUCAUUGGGCGUAAAGAGCGUGUAGGCGGCCCGAUAAGUCCGCUGUGAAAGUCCAGGGCUCAACCCUGGAAUGCCGGUGGAUACUGUCGGGCUCGAAUCCGGAAGAGGUGAGUGGAAUUCCUGGUGUAGCGGUGAAAUGCGCAGAUAUCAGGAGGAACACCAAUGGCGAAGGCAGCUCACUGGGACGGUAUUGACGCUGAGACGCGAAAGCGUGGGGAGCGGACAGG
rnacentral:rRNA from 1 species